CCGGGAGCCCCCUGAUUCACCCCAGGCCGCGUAUCAGAGGCAGUUCGAGCAGAGGGAGGAAGCCACCUUCUCUCGACGGCAGGGUCCCUUUUGUCUGCCCAUCUUGUUUAGAGUUGGCAGCUGCAGUUUCUUGGAAGAACAGCAAACACCACUGACUUUCGAGCUACGCGCAGGCCGGCUUCACAUGCAUUGACUCCUGAGCACCUCACAGGCUCUUUGAGCUAAAUGUCAUUAUCCCCAUUUCCGAGAUGAGGAGACUGAGGAACAGGGAGCUGGUAACAGCAUCGUCAUGGACCAGAACCUUUCUGUGGACCUGGAUGAGAAGACCCAGAUCUGUCCCAGGGAGCCAGUGCUUUGGCCUCAGGGCUGGCCCAGACUCCUGCCGCCACCUCACAGGUGCCUCCAGGCAAGGGUGACCCAAAGCACCAGAGUCCGAUUGGCAUGUGGGCAGAGUCCAUCCAGGCCCUUCCCCUGGUGCCUGGUGGCUGGGGAGCAGGAGGGUUCUGGGAAGGACCUCUGGGAGCUCUGCCCUCGGCUGUCUGACAUCAUUGUUUCCAUCUGGAUGCUUUGACUUGAGAACUAGUUGAGGCUGUUCAACCCACAGGGGUUGGAGCACUGGCCGGGUAUCCUGAGCUUUAGGUAACUAAAGUCCAGCUUCUUAUCUCAUUGGCUGUGUGACCUUGGACCAGUUCCUGAACCUCUCUGAGCCCCUUUCUUUGGCUCACAGAGCUAAUGUGAGCAUAGACACUCAUAGAGCAAGUGUGGGAUUGUAUGGCCACAGGGGCUUCUCCUUAAAUGCCCCAGGAUCCCAGAGCACCCAGGUUCCUGGCUCCCACCUCAGAGUCCUUCCUCCACACCUUGCAGCCUCCCGUUCUUCAUCAAAUCUGACAUCUGCCCAGGGAUCAGGCAGGUUCCCUCAAUCUGGCGCUGAUACCUCCCAUUUUCCACUGGUUUCCACAUGUUUGACUUAACGUGAACACCUGUGUCCCCCCAGCUCUGGCACAUCUGGGCAUGAAGCUCAAGUCCAGACACCAUUGCUCGGGCGCUGUGGCAGCCCCUGCUAGGGGUUCUUCCUGCAAUGGAUGGUGGAGAUCAUCGUCGACCCUCCCUCACCUCCUUCCCAUCAUCCCUCAUUCCAGAGACCCCAAGGAAGCCCCUCCUCUGGAAAAAAUUACUCCCUGCUGCUCUUCGCCACAGGGGCUCCCUGGGCCUCCCACCGCCUCCCCUCCCCUCCCGCCUCACUCCAGCACUCCGGGGUGUGUGUGGCGGGGAAACCUGUGUCUCCCCUCCCUCCCACCAUCCUUUUCCUCCUCCCUGAGCCCCAGCCCUCGGCCCCCAGGUCCUCCUCUCUCAGCCCUUAUCUGGCCCGGGAUCUGACCCGCGGAUGCACUCACUGCUCUGUGUGCUCCUGACCUCAGGAUGGCAUCACCGCCCGGCCUGCCUGCCUCGGGCCAGCUCCGGCCUGCUCU